rnacentral:rRNA from 1 species
UACGAAGGGGGCUAGCGUUGCUCGGAAUCACUGGGCGUAAAGCGCACGUAGGCGGAUUGCUAAGUCAGGGGUGAAAUCCUGGAGCUCAACUCCAGAACUGCCUUUGAUACUGGCGAUCUUGAGUCCGGGAGAGGUGAGUGGAACUGCGAGUGUAGAGGUGAAAUUCGUAGAUAUUCGCAAGAACACCAGUGGCGAAGGCGGCUCACUGGCCCGGUACUGACGCUG